GUGGGGAAUAUUGGGCAAUGGGCGAAAGCCUGACCCAGCAACGCCGCGUGAAGGAAGAAGGCCUUCGGGUUGUAAACUUCUUUUAUGAGGGACGAAGGAAGUGACUGUACCUCAUGAAUAAGCCACGGCUAACUACGUGCCAGCAGCCGCGGUAAUACGUAGGUGGCAAGCGUUGUCCGGAUUUACUGGGUGUAAAGGGCGCGUAGGCGGACUGGCAAGUCAGAUGUGAAAUCCAUGAGCUCAACUCAUGAACUGCAUUUGAAACUGUUGGUCUUGAGUAUCGGAGAGGCAAGCGGAAUUCCUAGUGUAGCGGUGAAAUGCGUAGAUAUUAGGAGGAACACCAGUGGCGAAGGCGGCUUGCUGGACGACAACUGACGCUGAGGCGCGAAAGCGUGGGGAGCAAACAGGAUUAGAAACCCGGGUAGUCC
rnacentral:rRNA from 1 species